GCAAGUGUGACGAAAAGAAAAACCGAGUGACGACGCGUAAUUGUGAAGCGCGUGAAACGAGUGAUCAGCGAACUCGGGCACUCUGCAUUGAGAAUUUUCAAAGGAAAGCCUAACGGAAUUUUCCACAAAACUAGACACUGCAGGUCGUAGUUAUGGAGCAGCAUAUGAAGUAAUUAGGAGGCGCACUAAAAUCCCCCAUAAACGUCAAACGACAAACAUUUUCGCGGAAGAACAACUGCAAGACACUGCCAUCGACGUUUUCCAGGCAACAUGUUGCCGAGCGACAGCAGCAGCGGCGAAAGCAACAUCAACAUCAACUGAUGGCAGCGCAACACCAACGGACAGCAGCAACAUUCGAGCAUUCAGUCGCAAUUCUGACGAUUGCGUGACGCGUUCGCAUCGCGGCGAUGAAAGAGACAGGACAUCUCGCGAGGAAAGAGAUCGAAAUAGUGGCGGGCAUAAAGUUUGAGUUCGAUGUGCAAAGUAUAAAUGAAAUUACACAAACAACCAAUCGAAAUACGUAAUAAAGUGCGUGCCAACACUCAGAGGAAUAUUUGAAAAAUAAAUUCGUAUAAAUUACCAACGAAUCCCGGACACAAACGGUCUGUCUCUGGGAAUAAUAUAAAUUAGCAUAAUUUAGCAAGGACUUGCCGAGACAAGCAGACAUUCGUUUCGCACUUAAUUAGUGUCCGAGCGCGUUGACAAUGUGGCAGACACUAUCAACUUUUAGCACAUCACUCAGAGCAGCAGCAGCAACGUGCAACUGUAGCUGCAAGCUGGAAAACGCGGAAAUGCACAGUCACAUGUUGCCAUCAGCAGACAUUGCGACAACGGCAGUGCGUAGGUGUUGCUGUCGCACAAGAAUCACCCGCAGCAGCAGAAGCAGCAACAGCAACUAUAGUUGCAACUAUGGCAGCAACGUGAUGCAGUGGCUACUGCUACUGUGCCUUUUCUGUGAUUUUGGCCAGGCCGCGCUGCGUGACGUAAAUCUGCUGGUGGAGCCUCCGGCGGUGCGAAGGGGUCAGUCUGUGGCCCUGCGGUGCGAUUACCAAUUGGUGGAGGCGCCCCUGUAUUCCAUUAAGUUUUACCGCGGCCAGAUGGAAUUCUACCGCUACACACCAGGCGAGUAUCCGCCCACCAAGGUCUUUCAGUUCCCCGGCAUCAGAGUGGACGAGAACGGCUCGAAUGCCACCACGGUGCUCAUCCGCAACGUUAGCUUCGGCCUGUCCGGACAAUUCAGCUGCGAGGUUACGGCGGAUGCCCCGCUCUAUUCCACGGCCACAGCCUUCGCCCAGAUGCAAGUUGUGGAAUUUCCGGAAAAGCGACCGCAGCUUUUUACGGAACACACGCGAUACGAACCAGGAGAUGUUUUGCGUGCAAACUGCAGUACUUUGCCAUCUCGUCCUCGAGCUGAUCUUCGUUUCACCAUCAACAAUAUUCCCGUCAGCACGGAGGAAACGCAGUACAUUCGAACGGUUGACAGCCUGAUUGCAUCCCGGCUCAGUCUGAAGCUGCAGCUGCAGGCGACUCACUUUGUGGCUGGGCUCAGUGCCCAUGGAAAUGGGAACGGGAAUGGUAAUGGCAAUGGAAAUGGCAACGGCAAUGGCCUGGCGAACGCACUGCACCUGGGUGGCGGCGGCGGCGGAGGCGCUGGAGGCGGAGGACUCAUCCUGCGUUGUACGGCGCAAAUUGGCGAUCUCUAUCAGGAGUACAAGGAAAUCGAGCUGGGCACACCGCAAAAGGAUCCGGUGCCGGCCAGAGUGACGCUGUCAUCGGGAACCGGACUCCGUGGCUUCUUGGAGACCUAUUUCGCCACAUCUUCGGGCCGCAGCAAUUGGCGGGGAUCGGCGGGGGUCGUGGCCAUCUUCCUGCCCACCGUGUUGGCCCAACUAAUUACUGGUAGCUAAAUCGGGGGCCAGUCGGCUGGAAUGGGAGUACAUGGACAUGGAAUGCGAACGUGUGUCGGCUUAUCGAGCAGCGAUGGAAAUUAGGGAGCCCUCGGCCGAGAUGUCCGUGUGAUUCCCGGUUAAGACCACACAUGCACACCCAAACCCUACGUAACUGUAAAUAUUUGCUUUAAUGAUGUGAACGGAUACACUUAAAUGAACUCGCACUCACACUCACGCGCUCACAUACACAGAAACACGCGACUAAUUGUUAAUUAAUGGAUUAUUUAAUGAUGCAUAAAAUAUUGGAUAAAAUAUUAAUGUUUCAUUUGCAUUUAGCUUCAACCCAAGCGAAUAUCAACUUAAUGUUUAAGUAAUUUAAAAAAUGUAAAUCGUUGAAACGAUAGAAAUAUGAAAUACAGAAAAGUGUAAGCAACAGAAAUGAAAUGCCAAUGCCAAGACAAGCCCAAAACCAAAAAGAA
rnacentral:misc_RNA from 1 species